rnacentral:rRNA from 1 species
AGCAGCCGCGUAAUUCCAGCUCCAAUAGCGUAUAUUAAAGUUGUUGCAGUUAAAAAGCUCGUAGUUGAAUUUCGGGGUCAAUACGUCGGUCGUGCCUCCGGUAUGUACUGGUGUUAUUGAUCCCUCCCUUCUGAUAAACCAUGAUGUCAUUAAUUUGGCGUCGUGGGAAGUCAGGACUGUUACUUUGAAAAAAUUAGAGUGUUUAAAGCAGGCUCACGCUUGAAUACAUUAGCAUGGAAUAAUGAAAUAGGACGUUCGAUCCUAUUUUGUUGGUUUCUAGGAUCAACGUAAUGAUUAAUAGGGAUAGUUGGGGGCAUUAGUAUUCAAUUGUCAGAGGUGAAAUUCUUGGAUUUAUUGAAGACUAACUACUGCGAAAGCUUUUGCCAAGGAUGUUUUCAUUAAUCAAGAACGAAAGUUAGGGGAUCGAAGACGAUCAGAUACCGUCGUAGUCUUAACCAUAAACUAUGCCGACUAGGAUCGGAUGAUGUUAAUUUUUUAAUGACUCAUUCGGCGCUUACGG